rnacentral:rRNA from 1 species
GAAGAAAGAGGGGGGAGGGAUGAACACAUGCAAGUCGAACAGAAAGGCCCUGCUUUUGUGGGGUGCUCGAGUGGCGAACGGGUGAGUAACACGUGAGUAACCUGCCCUUGACUUUGGGAUAACUUCAGGAAACUGGGGCUAAUACCGGAUAGGAGCUCCUGCUGCAUGGUGGGGGUUGGAAAGUUUCGGCGGUUGGGGAUGGACUCGCGGCUUAUCAGCUUGUUGGUGGGGUAGUGGCUUACCAAGGCUUUGACGGGUAGCCGGCCUGAGAGGGUGACCGGCCACAUUGGGACUGAGAUACGGCCCAGACUCCUACGGGAGGCAGCAGUGGAGAAUAUUGCACAAUGGGCGGAAGCCUGAUGCAGCAACGCCGCGUGCGGGAUGACGGCCUUCGGGUUGUAAACCGCUUUCGCCUGUGGCGAAGCGUGAGUGACGGUAAUGGGUAAAGAAGCACCGGCUAACUACGUG